CAAAAGAGCAGGCUGUUGGCAGUGAGCGAGUGAGUGAAUGGAUGAGCUGUUGAUGAGAAUGCAAGCGUGGCCUUUUAGGGCAACGCGUUGCAUUUCCAUGUGGCAGAGAGCUAAGGAAACCAGACGAACGGACAAAAAUUUGUAUGCAUAUACACAUACAUAUGUAUGAAUGCAUUCUAGAGACAUUUCCUGCGACAAUUCGAUUGCGCAUGGCUAUGUAAAACCCAAAAUUGUGCACUUCCACUUCCGUAUUUAAUGGAAAUGUAUGACAAGAAAAUCAAAAAAAUGUCAGAAAAAAAUAGGUCAAAAAUUAAAACGGAUGAAAUAUGCAAAAUACUAUUUCCCGCAGCUGAACUGUGGUCAAAAAAGAAAAUGUUGAGGAAUUUAUUGAAUACACGAAAAUAUUGAACAAUCUAGAAUCUAGGUGUCUAGUAGCACACCUUUAUCUACAUACAUAUGUACAUAUGCACACGCAACAAAUUUGUUAGCUGUCAAAGCAUCUCAGGCAAAACUAACGAUUCACUUGUUCUACACCGUAUAUGUAUACCCAGCAGAAAAGCAACAUAGGAACCAGCUAUAGAUAUACACCGACACAAUACGCGACGAAUACAAAAAAAAAGUUUAAGUAAAAAAAGUUGAAGCGCAACAAAAAAUAUGUAGGACAAAUGCGACGAGAAAACUAAAAAAACCAGUCAGCCGUCAGAGUUCUAAAUCAAGUUGAGAAAUCAGAGAGUGAGUAAGAGAACGGUUGCAAUCCAAAUACAAACAGAAAUAUGGAACACCAAAUGGUUAUUGAGUAAUUAGAAUUAAAUGAAAGCUUUGUAAAAUUGCAUAUGUAUUUAGUGUCUCAAGGAAAAAUAACAAUAAAAAAACAUCAAGCAGAAGAGAGAGCGGCUACAUACAUACAUAUGUAUAGCCGCUUCCAAGUGAACGCCAACAGAACUUUAAACUAAAAGAGCACUCAAAAAAAUUAGCGUGGCCAAACAUUACUGCGUCCAAAAGUUGUCGAGGCGGCCGCGCGGGCUGUUGGCUAAGGAGCUUAGAAAACGUGACAUCAACAAACGAGCAAUCAACGAAUGACAUGUAUAUAGUACAUUCACAGUGGUGUCCGCAUAAUCAGGGGCAAUCUUCUUUACAAGUUCUAAGCAUUUCGACAACUGAAAGGAAGAUCGACCUA